rnacentral:rRNA from 1 species
CUUGGUCAUUUAGAGGAAGUAAAAGUCGUAACAAGGUUUCCGUAGGUGAACCUGCGGAAGGAUCAUUACAUGUUUGAAUUAGCUGCUCCCCCCUCAAAACGGGGCCAGUUAUUCUUCUACCCAUGCCCUUUUGCGUACUGCUUGUUUCCUCGGUAGCCUCGCCUACCGAUAGGACAACUUAAAAACCCUUUUUUUGUAAUUGCAAUCAGCGUCAAAAGAUAACUUAAUAGUUACAACUUUCAACAACGGAUCUCUUGGUUCUGGCAUCGAUGAAGAACGCAGCGAAAUGCGAUAAGUAGUGUGAAUUGCAGAAUUCAGUGAAUCAUCGAAUCUUUGAACGCACGUUGCGCCCCUUGGUAUUCCAUGGGGCAUGCCUGUUCGAGCGUCAUUUGUACCCUCAAGCUUUGCUUGGUGUUGGGCGUCUUUGUCUCGCGUUGUCGCGUGGACUCGCCUGAAAGCGAUUGGCAGCCGGCAUGUUUGGCCUUGGAGCGCAGCACAUUUUGCGCUUCUGGUCACGAAUGUCAGCGUCCAUUAAGCCCUCUUUUACAUUUGCGAUUGACCUCGGAUCAGGUAGGGAUACCCGCUGAACUUAAGCAUAUCAAUAAGCGGAGGAAC